rnacentral:rRNA from 1 species
GACGAACGCUGGCGGCGUGCUUAACACAUGCAAGUCGAACGGAAAGGCCCUGCUUGCAGGGUACUCGAGUGGCGAACGGGUGAGUAACACGUGGGUGAUUUGCCCUGCACUUCGGGAUAAGCCUGGGAAACUGGGUCUAAUACCGGAUAGGAGCCAUUUUUAGUGUGAUGGUUGGAAAGUUUUUUCGGUGUAGGAUGAGCUCGCGGCCUAUCAGCUUGUUGGUGGGGUAAUGGUCUACCAAGGCGGCGACGGGUAGCCGGCCUGAGAGGGUGGACGGCCACAUUGGGACUGAGAUACGGCCCAGACUCCUACGGGAGGCAGCAGUGGGGAAUAUUGCACAAUGGGCGCAAGCCUGAUGCAGCGACGCCGCGUGGGGGAUGACGGCCUUCGGGUUGUAAACUCCUUUCGCUAGGGACGAAGCUUUUUGUGACGGUACCUAGAUAAGAAGCACCGGCUAACUACGUG